rnacentral:snRNA from 1 species
AUCGCUUCUGGGCCUUUUGGUUAAGAUCAAAUGUAGUCUCUGUUCUUAUCAGUAUAGCAUAAGCAAAUCUUGUCUCUCUAGGUUUCAACUGUAGUUCUGACUCAGUGUUUCCUGUAUUAAAAGAAGGCAAAGGUGGGGUUAUGACCUGAA